GUCCCUGGUGGGAGUGACUCAGGGGAGGGGGUCACCACAAAGUCCCUGGUGUGGGUGAUCCAGGGAUGGGGGACAUGGCUUAGGGUCCCUAGUGGAGGGGGCUUGGGGGGGAAAGUGUCAUGAUUGAAGAUCCCUGCUGGAUGGGGUGACUUUGAGAUAUGGGGGAGAUAGGAAGAGCACAC